CGUGUAGGCGGCCAGACAGGUCCGUUGUGAAAACUCGAGGCUCAACCUCGAGACGUCGAUGGAAACCGUCUGGCUAGAGUCCGGAAGAGGAGAGUGGAAUUCCUGGUGUAGCGGUGAAAUGCGCAGAUAUCAGGAAGAACACCUAUGGCGAAGGCAGCUCUCUGGGACGGUACUGACGCUGAGACGCGAAAGCGUGGGGAGCGAACA
rnacentral:rRNA from 1 species